rnacentral:rRNA from 1 species
AAGCGCCUACAACCAGACUUUGCGGCAGUGUUCCGCCGGUCUUCUGACCGGUCUACUCUCUGUCGUGAGGCCAUCAUCGUCUGGGACCGCUGGAUAAGACCUCAGGAAUGUAGCACCCUUCGGGGUGUGUUAUAGCCUUUGGUGAUGCGGCGAGUCUCGGGCGAGGUCCGCGCUUCGGCAAGGAUGAUGGCGUAAUGGUUGUCGGCGG